rnacentral:rRNA from 1 species
GAUGAACGCUGGCGGCGUGCCUAAUACAUGCAAGUCGAGCGAACAGAUAAGGAGCUUGCUCCUUUGACGUUAGCGGCGGACGGGUGAGUAACACGUGGGUAACCUACCUAUAAGACUGGGAUAACUUCGGGAAACCGGAGCUAAUACCGGAUAAUAUUUCGAACCGCAUGGUUCGAUAGUGAAAGAUGGUUUUGCUAUCACUUAUAGAUGGACCCGCGCCGUAUUAGCUAGUUGGUAAGGUAACGGCUUACCAAGGCGACGAUACGUAGCCGACCUGAGAGGGUGAUCGGCCACACUGGAACUGAGACACGGUCCAGACUCCUACGGGAGGCAGCAGUAGGGAAUCUUACGCAAUGGGCGAAAGCCUGACGGAGCAACGCCGCGUGAGUGAUGAAGGUCUUCGGAUCGUAAAACUCUGUUAUUAGGGAAGAACAUACGUGUAAGUAACUGUGCACGUCUUGACGGUACCUAAUCAGAAAGCCACGGCUAACUACGUG